ensembl:lncRNA
CCUGUACACAUGAGUGGUGGAAUCCUUCAAAGCAUGACACAAAGUUAGUAUUCAAUGCCUGUCAGUAAUAUUAAACUGAAAUAUCACAUCAUCUUAUUGUGUUCACAGUGCAAAACAUCAUAAAACAAUAUAUUGGCCGUACUCUCAAUCGUGCUUCUUUCUGUGGAUCCGUAAUUGUGCUUCAAUAGAGCGUCGUCCUUAAAGAAUAGUGCAUACAUUUCUAAGAGUCAGCAUUGUUUAACAGAUUGUAAUCCUGUACACACAAGUGAUGGAAUUAUAAUAGCAUGACACCAGGUAGGCAUUCUAUGCAUGUCAGUAAAUUAUAACUUAACUAUUAAGGUUUGUGAAGGAGUGAGAUGUCAUAAAUCCGCUGUAAAAUGUGUUGUUUUAUUAUAUCCAUGCAUUAAAGGGCCAGAUUAGGCUUGCAAAUAAUACAUUUACUAAUGUUGUGUUUAGGAAAAAGGGGACCAGGUUAGGUCACAGCCUCCCUCCAACAAUAGAAAACUGUGUGGUUGUGUUUAGGAGAAGGGGACCUGACUAGGUCACAGCCUCGCUCCCACAAUAGAAAACUGUGUGGUUGUGUUUAGGGCUAGGUGAUGGAGAGACUGCAUAAACAAAUGGGGGAACCCCCGGGGCUAGACCCAAGAGGCACAGGCUGGUUAGGG